UGGGCUUUUGAGAAAGCCUAUACAGGAUGA
rnacentral:piRNA from 1 species